rnacentral:rRNA from 1 species
AAAUUGAAGAGUUUGAUCAUGGCUCAGAUUGAACGCUGGCGGCAGGCCUAACACAUGCAAGUCGAACGGUAACAGGAAGCAGCUUGCUGCUUUGCUGACGAGUGGCGGACGGGUGAGUAAUGUCUGGGAAACUGCCUGAUGGAGGGGGAUAACUACUGGAAACGGUGGCUAAUACCGCAUAACGUCGCAAGACCAAAGAGGGGGACCUUCGGGCCUCUUGCCAUCAGAUGUGCCCAGAUGGGAUUAGCUUGUUGGUGAGGUAACGGCUCACCAAGGCGACGAUCCCUAGCUGGUCUGAGAGGAUGACCAGCCACACUGGAACUGAGACACGGUCCAGACUCCUACGGGAGGCAGCAGUGGGGAAUAUUGCACAAUGGGCGCAAGCCUGAUGCAGCCAUGCCGCGUGUAUGAAGAAGGCCUUCGGGUUGUAAAGUACUUUCAGCGGGGAGGAAGGUGCUG